AGACCAGCCCAGUGAGUCGAGCUCUCGUACGAGCACAACAUCGGGAUUGGUGACGGGAUCCUCGUACAAUCUCACUGAAUCUUCCACUGCACCGCGCACGUCCAAGUCGUCGGAGACGUCGGUGGGAAGUACAAGAACGCUAGCGACCACCCCGACAGUUCAGCAACGAAGAGGCGAAGCCCAGUGGCCACAUACGCUCCACCUCCGACCCGCGGAUGCCCUUGGCGGUACGUGCCUCAGUGGUAUUCUUCCAGGGAGCCAUGAGGUGACUUCAGCGUGGGGCAGCUCGAACAGAAAGCCAAUGUUGUUUAUAACUAGGGAAUAAGAUUGACAUA